CCUGUACUGAGUAAAAUGUGAUGGAGUGACGGAGAAGGAUAGUCUUACCACUUACUGGAUUGUGGGGUAAGUAUCAACUGGGCGUUGUAGGCAAAUCCGCAGCGCUUAACCGGGAGAUGCGAUGCAUAGUGAAAGGGUAACCAAGUAGCAAAUUAGAUGAUUUCAUGCUUCUUAAAAAAGCUUCUAACUAUAAAUUUUAUGAACCCGUACCGAGAACGAACACACGUCCCCAAGAUGAGUAUUCUAAGGCGAGCGAGAAAACCAAUGUUAAGGAACUCUGCAAAUUAACCCCGUAAGUUAGCGAGAAGGGGUGCCUAUGGUAACACAUAGGCCGCAGUGAAGAGUAAGGGGGAACUGUUUACCAAAAACACAGCUCUAUGCUAAGUCGCAAGACAAUGUAUAUGGGGUGACUCCUGCCCAGUGCCCGAAGGUUAAGCAAAGGCGUUAG
rnacentral:rRNA from 2 species